rnacentral:rRNA from 1 species
GGGUCUGCGUUUCAUUAGCUAGUUGGUAGGGUAAUGGCCUACCAAGGCAACGAUGAGUAACUGGUCUGAGAGGAUGAUCAGUCACACUGGAACUGAAACACGGUCCAGACUCCUACGGGAGGCAGCAGUGGGGAAUAUUGCGCAAUGGGCGAAAGCCUGACGCAGCAACGCCGUGUGAGGGAUGAAGGCUUUCGGGUCGUAAACCUCUGUCGGAAGGGAAGAACGGGUGAGGGUCUAAUAGGCCUUCAUUUUGACGGUACCUUUAGAGGAAGCACCGGCUAACUCCGUGCCAGCAGCCGCGGUAAUACGGAGGGUGCAAGCGUUAUUCGGAAUUACUGGGCGUAAAGCGCACGUAGGCCGCUUUGUAAGUCAGGGGUGAAAUCCCACGGCUCAACCGUGGAACUGCCUUUGAAACUGCAGAGCUUGAAUCCUGGAGAGGGUGGCGGAAUUCCUGGUGUAGGAGUGAAAUCCGUAGAUAUCAGGAGGAACACCGGUGGCGAAGGCGGCCACCUGGACAGGUCAUUGACGCCUCGA